CGCUCCAGAGGUCCUAUAGUGGUUAGAGCGUCCGCUUCGGACGUGGGAGGACGUGGGUUCGAUUCCCGGCCAAGU